rnacentral:rRNA from 1 species
AAACAUAUUAUAUAUGAAAGAUUUUUCUUCAAAAAAAAUAUUUAAAGAAAUUAAUUAAUUGAAAGGAACUCGGCAAAUUCAGUUGCUCCGCCUGUUUAUCAAAAACAUGGCUCUCUGCUUGUGUAAAUAUAGAGAGUCGAACCUGCCCGGUGAAUUUUUUUAACGGCCGCGGUACUCUGACCGUGCAAAGGUAGCAUAAUCAUUUGCCUUAUAAUUGAAGGCUAGUAUGAAUGGUUUAACGAGAGCAACACUGUCUCUUUUUUAUUUUCAAGAACUUAACUUUUAGGUGAAGAGGCCUAAAUUUUAUUGAAGGACAAGAAGACCCUGUCGAGCUUAAAAGACACUAUAGAAGUCUAUAUAUUUCUAAAUAAAUUUUCUAUUAAGCUUUUUAGUUGGGGCGACUAAGGAACAAAAAAAGCUUCUUAUUAUUAAUAAACAGUUAUGUCUAGAUCCGAUAAUAAUCGAUUUAAAAAAUUAGUUACCGCAGGGAUAACAGCAUAAUCUCUCUUGAGAGACCUAAUCGAAAGAGGGGGUUGUGACCUCGAUGUUGGACUAGAAUAUCCUA